rnacentral:rRNA from 1 species
GACGAACGCUGGCGGCGUGCUUAGCACAUGCAAGUCGAACGGAAAGGCCCUGCUUUUGUGGGGUGCUCGAGUGGCGAACGGGUGAGUAACACGUGAGUAACCUGCCCUUGACUUUGGGAUAACUUCAGGAAACUGGGGCUAAUACCGGAUAGGAGCUCCUGCUGCAUGGUGGGGGUUGGAAAGUUUCGGCGGUUGGGGAUGGACUCGCGGCUUAUCAGCUUGUUGGUGGGGUAGUGGCUUACCAAGGCUUUGACGGGUAGCCGGCCUGAGAGGGUGACCGGCCACAUUGGGACUGAGAGACGGCGCAGACUCCUACGGGAGGCAGCAGUGGGGAAUAUUGCACAAUGGGCGGAAGCCUGAGGCAGCAACGCCGCGUGCGGGAUGACGGCCUUCGGGUUGUAAACCGCUUUCGCCUGUGACGAAGCGUGAGUGACGGUAAUGGGUAAAGAAGCACCGGCUAACUACGUG